rnacentral:snRNA from 1 species
GUGAAGCAAUUAGGCUGCAACAUCUGUCAUUCUAUUGAUCUCUUGGAUUGAUUCCAUUUAUCUGGUGGGCCAGGCCAGUGUCCCCAACUACUUCACCUC